rnacentral:rRNA from 1 species
GAUGAACGCUGGCGGCGUGCUUAACACAUGCAAGUCGAACGGAAAGACUCCUGCUUGCAGGGGUACUCGAGUGGCGAACGGGUGAGUAACACGUGGGUGAUCUGCCCUGCACUUCGGGAUAAGCCUGGGAAACUGGGUCUAAUACCGGAUAGGACGAUGGUUUGGAUGCCAUUGUGGAAAGUUUUUUCGGUGUGGGAUGAGCUCGCGGCCUAUCAGCUUGUUGGUGGGGUAAUGGCCUACCAAGGCGUCGACGGGUAGCCGGCCUGAGAGGGUGUACGGCCACAUUGGGACUGAGAUACGGCCCAGACUCCUACGGGAGGCAGCAGUGGGGAAUAUUGCACAAUGGGCGCAAGCCUGAUGCAGCGACGCCGCGUGGGGGAUGACGGCCUUCGGGUUGUAAACUCCUUUCGCUAGGGACGAAGCGCAAGUGACGGUACCUGGAGAAGAAGCACCGGCUAACUACGUG